ensembl:lncRNA
GUAUGUAUAAUAUUCAAAUAAGCAUUUGAUGCUAAGACCUUAGUACAGUCACUUACAAGGAUGCCAAAAUGAAAAAUUGAGAGCGUGUAUUCAGGCAAUUAAAAAAAUACAUUUUGAUUAUAAUUAACAGUUAGGAAAAAAAAAGAGUGGAAAAAGAGAUAUCAUGAAAUAUUUUACUUUAAGAAAGUCAUAGUUCGAAGAUUUUUUGCCAAAGUGGAAUUUGUUUUUGUUUGUAAGCUGUAAAGACCAGGGUGAGAAAUGACUGUGCACAGCUCUGAGUGAGAAGUAUGAGCAAAUAACUUCUGCUUGACGGGGAUUUCCCCCAGGAAGCAAAAUAAAAGCUAGGGAAGACUUGGCUUUGUCCCAACUCAUCUUAUAGACUAACCGGAAUAACCAGAAAGAGUGAAGAGGAAAUUACCUACAUCAUUUCAGGACUCGGUGUCCAUGGUGUUUAGGAGUUCAUCCCAUGGCAGAGAAACAGUAGACCUGGGCAAGAAUCAUUUCUGGUAGAAAAACUUCUUCCUCCAAAUGGCAGUGUGCAGCAUUACUGGAAUCAAUUACUUCUCUGCAUUUCUUGACUCCAUUUCUGAUUGUGGAAGGACUUAAAUCUGUAUGCCUCUAAUUUCAUUUUGGCAUCCUAGUGCUUAUUUUUCUCUCUGUGCUCUAUGGAGAUGGAUUUCCUUGGAAUAGAAGGGAUUGGUUGCCUUGCUAUGACCAGCUGGCGUUUAAAGCGCUGUCAAUCCCACCGCAAUUCAGUGGUUGUGUUUUAGAGAGUACAAAGCCUAAGCUAAAACAAUCUACAGGCAGAAUCCAGCUCUGUUGUGGCUUCAAAAGACGUUUUGGAGAAGGGUAAUAUACAAACCAGG